rnacentral:rRNA from 1 species
UACAGAGGAUGCAAGCGUUAUCCGGAAUGAUUGGGCGUAAAGCGUCUGUAGGUGGCUUUUUAAGUCCGCCGUCAAAUCCCAGGGCUCAACUCUGGACAGGCGGUGGAAACUACCAAGCUGGAGUACGGUAGGGGCAGAGGGAAUUUCCGGUGGAGCGGUGAAAUGCGUAGAGAUCCGGAGGAACACCGACGGCGUAAGCAGCGCCCUAAACGAGUACUGACGCUCAGGCACGAAAGCUGGGGGAGCAAACAGG